CUUACUUUUCAACUAACUACUGUGGAGAAGAAGAUUUGAAAAUCCAAACAAUCUACACUCGGUGUUUACUAGAAAAAAGAAAAGAGUGACAGUUUGCCACUUGAUCACAAAAUAAUGAUGAUGAAGUUUUGAUU
ensembl:ncRNA F21C10.14 ncRNA